rnacentral:rRNA from 1 species
AAGUCGAACGGUGAAGCCCCGCUUGCGGGGUGGAUCAGUGGCGAACGGGUGAGUAACACGUGAGCAACCUGCCCCUGACUCUGGGAUAAGCGCUGGAAACGGCGUCUAAUACUGGAUACGAGACGUGAUCGCAUGGUCAACGUUUGGAAAGAUUUUUCGGUUGGGGAUGGGCUCGCGGCCUAUCAGCUUGUUGGUGAGGUAAUGGCUCACCAAGGCGUCGACGGGUAGCCGGCCUGAGAGGGUGACCGGCCACACUGGGACUGAGACACGGCCCAGACUCCUACGGGAGGCAGCAGUGGGGAAUAUUGCACAAUGGGCGCAAGCCUGAUGCAGCAACGCCGCGUGAGGGAUGACGGCCUUCGGGUUGUAAACCUCUUUUAGCAGGGAAGAAGCGAGAGUGACGGUACCUGCAGAAAAAGCACCGGCUAACUACGUGCCAGCAGCCGCGGUAAUACGUAGGGUGCAAGCGUUAUCCGGAAUUAUUGGGCGUAAAGAGCUCGUAGGCGGUUUGUCGCGUCUGCUGUGAAAUCUGGGGGCUCAACCCCCAGCCUGCAGUGGGUACGGGCAGACUAGAGUGCGGUAGGGGAGAUUGGAAUUCCUGGUGUAGCGGUGGAAUGCGCAGAUAUCAGGAGGAACACCGAUGGCGAAGGCAGAUCUCUGGGCCGUAACUGACGCUGAGGAGCGAAAGGGUGGGGAGCAAACAGGCUUAGAUACCCUGGUAGUCCACCCCGUAAACGUUGGGAACUAGUUGUGGGGUCCAUUCCACGGAUUCCGUGACGCAGCUAACGCAUUAAGUUCCCCGCCUGGGGAGUACGGCCGCAAGGCUAAAACUCAAAGGAAUUGACGGGGACCCGCACAAGCGGCGGAGCAUGCGGAUUAAUUCGAUGCAACGCGAAGAACCUUACCAAGGCUUGACAUAUACGAGAACGGGCCAGAAAUGGUCAACUCUUUGGACACUCGUAAACAGGUGGUGCAUGGUUGUCGUCAGCUCGUGUCGUGAGAUGUUGGGUUAAGUCCCGCAACGAGCGCAACCCUCGUUCUAUGUUGCCAGCACGUAAUGGUGGGAACUCAUGGGAUACUGCCGGGGUCAACUCGGAGGAAGGUGGGGAUGACGUCAAAUCAUCAUGCCCCUUAUGUCUUGGGCUUCACGCAUGCUACAAUGGCCGGUACAAUGGGCUGCAAUACCGUGAGGUGGAGCGAAUCCCAAAAAGCCGGUCCCAGUUCGGAUUGAGGUCUGCAACUCGACCUCAUGAAGUCGGAGUCGCUAGUAAUCGCAGAUCAGCAACGCUGCGGUGAAUACGUUCCCGGGUCUUGUACACACCGCCCGUCAAGUCAUGAAAGUCGGUAACACCUGAAGCCGGUGGCCUAACCCUUCGGGGAGGGAGCU